UCCGUAGGCGGGUAAUUAAGUCAGAGGUGAAAUCCCACAGCUUAACUGUGGAACUGCCUUAGAUACUGGUUAUCUUGAGUUUUAGUGAAGUAGAUAGAAUGUGUAGUGUAGCGGUGAAAUGCAUAGACAUUACACAGAAUACCGAUUGCGAAGGCAGUCUACUAACUAACAACUGACGCUAAUGGACGAAAGCGUGGGGAGCGAACAGGAUUAGAUACCCUGGUAGUCC
rnacentral:rRNA from 1 species